CAUACCUCCAGAGAGACUUCCUUGAGACAGAGUCUUGCUCUGUUGCUCAGGCUGGAGUGCAGUGGCGAGAUCAUAGCUCGCUGCAACCUCAAACUCCUGGGCUCAAGAGAUCCUCCCACCUCAAUCGCCCAAGUAGCUUGGACUACAGAGUCUCACUCUGUCACCCAGGCUGGAGUACAGUGGCACAAUCUCGGCUCACUGCAACCUACACCCCUUGGGUUCAAGCGAUUCUCCUGCCUAAGCCUCCUGAGUAGCUGGGAUACAGGACUUUUAAUGUUAUCUUCUGUUGGAAAUACCUUUCCUGUGAAGUUCCCCUGCUUGCCAAUGAGAUUUGGAGAACUGACUGUGGCUUAUGUGUGCUUUAAUCUUCAGUGCCCUGCAUAGUGAUGUUUUUUGGGAAGAGGUUUAAUUGACUCACAGUUCCACGUGGCUGAGGAGGCCUCACAAUCAUGGCAGAAGGCAAAGGAGGAGCAAAGUCACGUCUUACCUGGCAGCAAGCAAGAGGAUGUCUGAUUCUUAGUAAGCCCUCAAUAAGCAGUAGCUCCUCUAUGAUUUCUUCAUAUUCUUAUUUCCAGCAGUAUGAUAUGUAUGAUAUGCCAAUUGACCCACUGAACAGGCAUCUUGCCAGAGGCAGUUUCAUAUGCUGCUUGACUUGAAUCAAGAGAAGGCAUCAGGGGAACACUAUCACAGAAAAAGAUUAAAAAGAACUUUGGGACUUAAAAGGCAGAAGGAGAAAAACUAUUCUCUGGAUAGUGCUGGUGAAAAGUGAGCAGACAGUGAGAUAUCAUUGGAGCUUGUCUUCUGCAUGUUUGGUUGCAACUCCUGUCUUCAUUCAUAAUGCCUCACAUCUCCUCCUGACACAUGGCCGGGACUCUGUUUGUGAUGAAUGUUUGUACACAUGGAGGAGGGAGGUACAUAUGCUGUACAUGCUUAGAGGUAGAGACUUACAGGGAGCAGAAGAAGUGUGGGUGGUCAGGCACGAUGAGGAAAAUACUUCUGAAACUCAAAACAGACCAUGAAAUCAAAUAAAGCCUGGAAAUAUUGUAAGUGUGGCCCCCAAAUUUAGCACCACUGUGUUGACUUAUUUUACUGCUCUGCUUCUAUCUGGUCACACACAUAAACAGGAUAAUUUUUUUUUUCUGAGUCUCUGCAGCACAAGGCCAAGUAGAUGGGCUGUGGUAAAGAGAGUAAGUGAAUGUUUUGGCAUUAUCUAUUCAAUUGAACUUUCUCAAAUGACCCAAAUAGCUUCUCAAGAGCCAUUAUUUUAUCUUGUCCUUUACAUUUUCUAUGAGUGUUUUCAUGUCAAAAUGCACUUGGAAGCUAAAGGACAAGGUAUUCUGCUACUUUUGGCCUUAAGAACCCUUUCUAGCUUUUGUCUGCAACUGUUCAUGCUGAGGUUAUUACGUGUUCAAUAUAUUCUCUUUAUGAAUCCUGAAUAUUCAUAUUUCCAAAUAAACGUGAGACAAUGGGCCUAAAAUUCAAAAGGAAGACAAAACAAAAGAAUUUCAAGCUUCUACUUUGUAUUUUUAUACUAUGGCAUUUCUCAUGGGUAGCAAGUUCCAAAUCAUAGUAUUUUCAAACUCGAAGGGAAUUAAAACGAGCAAACUAUGGCUCAGAACAUUUAAGUCACAUCCUAGUGUUGCAUAUUUAGUUGGAGUAAGAAACCAGAUCUCAUGGUUUCUAUUUCAGUGCUGUUUCUAUUCCACCAAGCUCACACUCCCACCCCUUGGAUCCAUUGCUACUAAAAUCCUGAAAGGAUUCAGAAAGGCAUACUUGAGAUUAUAACACUAUGUCUGUAAAACCUAAUUCAAAUCGAUUAAACUUCCAUGGAUUUCUAAGCUAUUCUAUAAGCUGGGGGAUUCGUUUAUUGGAAUAACAUCUUCAUUUAGGACCACCCUUAUUCUCCGCCGUGUGACAGGAUAACUAAGAGCCCUCAGGGAAUUCUUUCUUUCCUGAGCUUAUUGAUGCCUAAUGAUGAUCUGUUGGAGACCCUGCCUUUCCCGGGUCAAAGGCAGACAUUAGGGCUCAUUUUCCCCAGUGUCUUUGGUACUUUUCAAACUCUUGAGCUAAAGGAUAAAACUGAACCAGCUGUUUCCAAGGACACAUUUUUAAAAAUUACUUAAAAUUUUGGUUUUUCUUGGUUCAUAAACUUAGUUUUACUCUUAAAUAAAUGUUGUCAAUACAAUACAUGCACAGUUACAAAUAUUACCCAAGGAUUCUAAUGAAAAGUGGCCGUUUCUGCCCUACUUCUCCCACAUCAGAGUAGACCGCUUUUAACCUUUUUUACUCUCUGUUCUAAUAUUAAUUUCAACAUAUUGUAAUUACUUGAAUCCAAAGUUUUAGACAUUUUCUAUUGACUUCCUUUUAUCACAGCUGAUGAUUUAACUCUCUACCACUUCCUCCAAUUUUUUCUUUUUCUUUUUUUUUGAAACAGGGUCUCACUCUAUUGCCCAGGCUGGAGUGCAGUGUCAUGAUCAUAGCUCACUGCAGCCUCAAACUCCUGGGUUCAAGGUAUCCCUCUGCCUCAGCCUCCCAAAGUGCUGAGAUUACAGAUGCAUUGGCCGAAAUUUAUUCCCUUCCUUUGUCUAUUAUAAUUAAUUAGGCCACAAUCUUACUGCAACAGCAACAAAAUAUCAGUCCUUAUAUGAUUAUGUAGAAAAUAUAUUUUACUGAAUAGCUUGCUAAUAUACUAUGAUUCCCUUUAUUAGGCUCUAUAGUUCCUUUUUUACUACUUAAAAACUUUUUUCGGAAUCAAAAACUGCUUUAUGUGUUUUAGGUCCUUAGUCUCCUAUAGACCUAUUCUUAUCUUUUCCAAAUGCUCCAUUAGGUCUGCUCUACACAGUUAAGAAGCUUUCCCCAAGUGGUUUAAUCAUGUCUGAUGAUCUGUCAAUUAUUCCUGCCUUCACUGCCGCGCCACUUUACUGUGGCGCAUUGAUCCUUCCGCUCCAGUCUGCUUUCCUCCAGGGCUGUUGCACACGGUCAUUUUUGGACCACACCAUUUUUCUGUGCAGGACCUCUCCUCUGCUUGGUCAUGUGCUUUCUUCUUCCUUGUUUUAGUCCUUUAUUUUUCUGGAUCAAUUCUUCAUAAAUUAAACUUAAAUUUAAAAAGAUUUGAAAAAUUUAAAAACCCUGAAGUGUCAGGGAGAAGAAUAUAAUGAAUCCCUACAUAUUCAUACUUAUCACCCAGAUUCAACAGUUAUCAUGUUUCCACAUUUAUUGCAUUUGUCUUUUUCUUUUUCUUCUACUUUUAUUUCUUUUCUCCCCUCCCUCUCCACUUCCGUUUCCCUCCCUCCUUCCUCUUGCCCUCCCCGACGCUUCUGUUCCACUCUCAUCACCUCUCCCCGUCCCUCGUCCCUCUUCUUUCCUCUUCUCUUUAUCUGCUUGCUGAAGUGUUAUAAAGUAAACCCCAGUGUUUCAAGCCAGGACACUGGAAGGGCUCUCCCUGAGAGAGAGACUACAUUCAAUACAGGCAGUGAAAGAGAGGCUAUGAUGACAUUAUGUGAGUCGCUGACUCUGACUGCACUGAAAGAUUUAUCCUAGACCUUUUAGUUAUAUGAACAAACACUUGUGCUUUCAAGGGACAUUAAGACAAGUCUGCCAGGCGUGAAAUUUUCCAGCUGACUGGGAGUUUGGCAAAUGAUUUUUAGAACUUUUUGGGCAAAAUCACAGUAUCUUAGAUUAAUUACCAAAUGAAUUUUUAUUUAUCCUAUUGUUAUCCAAUAGAUGAAAUGCCCGUAAUCUUCGGGUAUCAAUACUUAAAAAUAGAAAAUAAUGUGAUGUUUAGCUUUUUAAAAAAUAUGCCUUCUAUACAAUACCAAUAUAAAGGUUAGGAUUUUACAUUCAAUAGUAAAUCUGUUUUGUUUCAUUAGGAUUUGAACAAACAUGACAAUAUUGGGAAAGUGGUUUCUGUGUCUAUUAAUGACUCAUUAUAUUGCUCAGUUAACUUUAAACCAAUAGAGUGGAUGUAGCAAUUUUUGUACAACAAAUCAGUGGCUGAUGGAACAGUUCAUAACUAGAAAUUUUGUCCAUGAAUUUACAUGUCGGCCUUCAUGCAAUUAUAAAUUCUUUAUUAGUAUUUUGAUUUAGAUAUUCUUAUCUUCAUUACUGAAAACAUGACUAUUUUUAUAACUGAAUAUUCUGAAUUGCAUUAAAAGAAUAACUGAGAUCAAUUUGUUGUAAAUAAUUCAGAAACGCUGACAGAAAUCUCUGCCUGAUUACUUUCUUAUGUAUGGCUGUAUUCUCUAUGGUGUAUUUUGCUUUUGUACAGUACACGAAUCCCAGAAACUUGUAGCUUUCUGAAUAAAUAACUUGGUUUACAGCGCUAUUUCCUCCUGUUAAAUGUUUGCUCUGUUCCCAGAAGAUAAGGAAAUUAAGUUUAUUAUGAAUAAUUUAUCAAUGUAUUUCUAAUAAAG